rnacentral:rRNA from 1 species
AGAGCGAACGCUGGCGGCAGGCCUAACACAUGCAAGUCGAGCGCCCGUAGCAAUACGGGAGCGGCAGACGGGAUAGUAACACGUGGGAACGCGCCCUUCGGUUCGGAAUAACUCAGGGAAACUUGAGCUAAUACCGGAUACGCCCUUACGGGGAAAGAUUUAUUGCCGAAGGAACGGCCCGCGUCCGAUUAGCUAGUUGGUGAGGUAAUGGCUCACCAAGGCGACGAUCGGUAGCUGGUCUGAGAGGAUGACCAGCAUCACUGGGACUGAGACACGGCCCAGACUCCUACGGGAGGCAGCAGUGGGGAAUAUUGGACAAUGGGCGCAAGCCUGAUCCAGCCAUGCCGCGUGGAUGAUGAAGGCCCUAGGGUUGUAAAGUCCUUUUAACGGGAAGAUAAUGACGGUACCCGUAGAAUAAGCCCCGGCUAACUUCGUGCCAGCAGCCGC